UUGCCUUCAUUUCAAAAUUGCGUUUGUUGUUCUAGGUAUGUUCUUGUUCCAAACAAAUUUUAGGAAUGUUUUAUCUAGUUCUGUGAGGUAUUCUA